UAACGCGUGGAGAACCUGCCGUAUACUGGGGGAUAACACUUAGAAAUAGGUGCUAAUACCGCAUAAGCGCACAGCUUCGCAUGAAGCAGUGUGGAAAACAAAAGCUAAAGCUUUUGGUGGUAUACGAUGGAUCCGCGUCUGAUUAGCUAGUUGGCGGGGUAAAGGCCCACCAAGGCGACGAUCAGUAGCCGGCCUGAGAGGGUGAACGGCCACAUUGGGACUGAGACACGGCCCAAACUCCUACGGAAGGCAGCAG
rnacentral:rRNA from 1 species